rnacentral:ribozyme from 1 species
AAAAAAAAAAAAAAAAAAAAAAAAAUAAGAUUUGAAACAUAACAUCUUUCAUUACUGCUGAAUAGAUCGCAAAAAACAUUUUUUUGUAAUCCUUCCUCUUCUUUUUUUUUUUUGUUUGUUUGCAGCAUCGCGGAGGAGAGUCGUUACGAAGCUGCUUUUCCAAUCGGAAUAGUAAUAAACAAUAA